GAAAGAAUGCGUUGGGUGCUUUCAGCAAAGUUAAAGGCACCCACUCUGUCCCAACCUUUGCACUCUUAGGUAAAGAAUCUGGGCCAUGUGCACAAGGAGACUUUAGAAUCAUGAUCACGGAACACCUGGGUGGCUCAGUGGUUGAACAUCUGCCUUCGGCUCAGGCCGUGAUCCCGGGGUCCCGGGAUCGAGUCCCGUGUAGGGCUCCCUACAUGGAGCCUGCUUCUCCCUCUGCUGUGUCUCUGCCUCUCUCUCUCUCUCUCUCUGUGUGUCUCUCAUGAAUAAAUAAAUAAAAUCUAAAAAAAAAAUAAAAUAAAAUCAUGAUGGUGGCAACCUUAUCUGUAAGAGUGAAAAUUUUAAGUGACUUCAAUGCCCACAAACAGAAGAAUGGAUAAAUAUGUUUAAAUCCAUGUAAUGAAGAAAAUUUUUAAAAAUCCACGUGAUGGAAUGCUAUGCACAAACUUAGUACAAAUCAACUACACGUAUCACCAUGGAUACCGCUCACAAACCUAAUGUUGGGUGAAAACACGUUUUCAAGAAGACACCUUCAGUGGCCGGCGUUGAUAGGAAGCCAUGCAAAACGACAGACUUUGGUUAUCACGUAACCUACGGAGUGAGAGCAUAAAGUACACCCGAAAUGACGAAUAGCAAAGUCAUGAUGAUAGUCAGCUCGGGAAGGAGGCGGGAAAGAGGACCAGGGAGGAGUAUGCAGGGAACGUUAACUGUCCCUGUGCGUUGGUUUCUUUCAAAAUAUUUAAUGUCGACGUGGGGUAAGGCUGGCAUAUACGUAUUUGUGACAUUGAUCUGCACUCUUCAAAUAUUUGCCAGCAUGAAAGGAAAAGAUGCAGUGAGGUUUAACAUCAUCAGGCUGCAGGGAUUUGUGAAGAGGAUGAAAAUCUGUAGGGUGGCAGCCAGAGCUGGAGGGGCUGCUCCCUCCUUGUCCCAGCCAGGCCCUCCUCCACCCCAGGGGAGGACUCAGGGAGGACCCAGGGAGCACGGUCAGGCUCUCUCCACCAUCCUCCCCACGGGGUGGGGGGGGGCAGGAACCGGGGGAGCAGCUGGCGGGCAGUGGACGGUGCCAGAUGCACAUGCACAGUCUGUCCCUCCCGGUGUCUGGCCGGCAGGAGCGCAGGCAAGGCUCCUCCAGCGCGACAGUGUCCCGGGCCCGGCUGGCCUCGGGUUGAAGCCCCGGGACUUUGCAGCAGACGGAGAGCCUGCCCGGAGGCCUGCGGCAUUCCACGGGUGUCCAGAAGCCUCAGCUGCUUAUCAGUGUUCCCAUGGCAAUGUCUGUUGCGUGGGAAUGCUGGUUGUCCUCCCUUAAAGGAUCCUGUCUCUUAACUCUG
rnacentral:lncRNA from 12 species